GGACCCCCAUGAUGUCCAGCACUGGGCUCUGAUCUCUGGUGAGGACAUGGUGCCCCCUCGGGACCUUUGACACCUGGGGGUCUGAGGGGUCC